GUAGUCCACGCCGUAAACGAUGUCAACUAGCCGUUGGAGACCUUAGAGUCUUUAGUGGCGCAGCUAACGCACUAAGUUGACCGCCUGGGGAGUACGGCCGCAAGGUUAAAACUCAAAUGAAUUGACGGGGGCCCGCACAAGCAGCGGAGCAUGUGGCUUAAUUCGACGCAACGCGAAGAACCUUACCAAGGCUUGACAUCGCCCGGAAAGCAUCAGAGACGGUGCCCCCCUUGUGGCCGGGUGACAGGUGGUGCAUGGCUGUCGUCAGCUCGUGUCGUGAGAUGUUGGGUUAAGUCCCGCAACGAGCGCAACCCUUGUUCUGUGUUGCCAGCAUGCCCUUCGGGGUGAUGGGGACUCACAGGAGACCGCCGGGGUCAACUCGGAGGAAGGUGGGGACGACGUCAAGUCAUCAUGCCCCUUAUGUCUUGGGCUGCACACGUGCUACAAUGGCAGGUACAAUGAGCUGCGAUACCGUGAGGUGGAGCGAAUCUCAAAAAGCCUGUCUCAGUUCGGAUUGGGGUCUGCAACUCGACCCCAUGAAGUCGGAGUUGCUAGUAAUCGCAGAUCAGCAUUGCUGCGGUGAAUA
rnacentral:rRNA from 1 species